rnacentral:rRNA from 1 species
AACGUAGGAGGCGAGCGUUAUCCGGAUUUACUGGGUGUAAAGCGCGUGCAGGCGGCGGCGCAAGUCGUGUGUGAAAGCUCCCGGCUCAACCGGGAGAGGACGGACGAGACUGGGCAGCUAGAGGCAGGUAGAGGUGUGUGGAAUUCCGGGUGUAGUGGUGAAAUGCGUAGAGAUCCGGAGGAACACCAGUGGCGAAGGCGGCACACUGGGCCUGGCCUGACGCUCAGACGCGAAAGCAUGGGGAGCGAACGGGAUUAGAUACCCCCGUAGUCC